rnacentral:rRNA from 1 species
AGGUAAGCUACUAAGAGCGAAUGGUGGAUGCCUUGACUGGUAAAGGCGAUGAAGGACGUACUAGACUGCGAUAAGCUACGGGGAGCUGUCAAGAAGCUUUGAUCCGUAGAUUUCCGAAUGGGGCAACCCAAUGUAUAGAGAUAUACAUUACCUAUAUAGGAGCGAACGAGGGGAAUUGAAACAUCUUAGUACCCUCAGGAAAAGAAAUCAAUAGAGAUUGCGUCAGUAGCGGCGAGCGAAAGCGCAAGAGGGCAAACCCAGUGCUUGCACUGGGGGUUGUAGGACUGCAAUGUGCAAGAGGUGAGUUUAGCAGAACAUUCUGGAAAGUAUAGCCAUAGAGGGUGAUAGUCCCGUAUGCGAAAAACAAACCUUAGCUAGCAGUAUCCUGAGUAGGGCGGGACACGAGAAAUCCUGUCUGAAGCUGGGUCGACCACGAUCCAACCCUAAAUACUAAUACCAGAUCGAUAGUGCACAAGUACCGUGAGGGAAAGGUGAAAAGAACUGAGGUGAUCAGAGUGAAAUAGAACCUGAAACCAUUUGCUUACAAUCAUUCAGAGCCCUAUGUAGCAAUACAGGGUGAUGGACUGCCUUUUGCAUAAUGAGCCUGCGAGUUGUGGUGUCUGGCAAGGUUAAGCAAACGCGAAGCCGUAGCGAAAGCGAGUCUGAAUAGGGCGCUUAGUCAGAUGCUGCAGACCCGAAACGAAGUGAUCUAUCCAUGAGCAAGUUGAAGCUAGUGUAAGAACUAGUGGAGGACUGAACCCAUAGGCGUUGAAAAGCCCCGGGAUGACUUGUGGAUAGGGGUGAAAGGCCAAUCAAACUUCGUGAUAGCUGGUUCUCUCCGAAAUAUAUUUAGGUAUAGCGUUGUGUCGUAAUAUAAGGGGGUAGAGCACUGAAUGGGCUAGGGCAUACACCAAUGUACCAAACCCUAUCAAACUCCGAAUACCUUAUAUGUAAUCACAGCAGUCAGGCGGCGAGUGAUAAAAUCCGUCGUCAAGAGGGAAACAACCCAGACUACCAGCUAAGGUCCCUAAAUCUUACUUAAGUGGAAAACGAUGUGAAGUUACUUAAACAACCAGGAGGUUGGCUUAGAAGCAGCCAUCCUUUAAAGAAAGCGUAAUAGCUCACUGGUCUAGUGAUUUUGCGCGGAAAAUAUAACGGGGCUAAAGUAAGUACCGAAGCUGUAGACUUGCGCACAACUUAGAUUAUUUAAGUUUAGAAUAUGAGAAACUAAGUUAUAUGUUUAGUUAUAUUUUUACUGAUUUUUAUAGAGUAAAGAUAGAAAUAAAACUUAGUAAAAUCAGUAAAAAUAUUCUUAGACUAAAGUUAAGUAGUUUAAGUUGUGUGCAAGUGGUAGGAGAGCGUUCUAUUUGCGUCGAAGGUAUACCGGUAAGGAGUGCUGGAGCGAAUAGAAGUGAGCAUGCAGGCAUGAGUAGCGAUAAUUAAUGUGAGAAUCAUUAACGCCGUAAACCCAAGGUUUCCUACGCGAUGCUCGUCAUCGUAGGGUUAGUCGGGUCCUAAGUCGAGUCCGAAAGGGGUAGACGAUGGCAAAUUGGUUAAUAUUCCAAUACCAACAUUAG